CUCCGGCAGACCCUCUCUCCCAGACCCUCCUACUUCCUGGACAGCAUUAAAGCUUCAACAUGGAUGCAGUCCAGGAAGUAGGAGGGUCUGGGAGGGAGGGUCUGCCGGAG